GAGUCGAGGUUUGAGUAAAAUUCCAGAUCAGGACAUUUUGGCCUAUCAGCAGAUGCCCUUUCGUCUCCUUGUUCGCAAUCAUUUAGCCGAGGCCGUCCCCUCUCCUCCUUGGAUCUUCCACGCUCCUCGUCAAGAACGCGAAUCGGGGAGGAGAUCUGAGGCUUUUACUUACAAGGUUCAAUGGGUUCAAGAGGGUGGUUCUUCCUCGUUCUUAUUCUUGUUAUUGGCUGGGCAAAUGCUGAUGCUAGAAGUUUGGCAGAAAUUGAUGUUUUGGGUAUGUAAUAAUAAUACUUGUUGUUCCUUUCUUCCAUAAU